rnacentral:rRNA from 1 species
GAUGAACGCUGGCGGCGUGCCUAAUACAUGCAAGUCGAGCGAACGGACGAGAAGCUUGCUUCUCUGAUGUUAGCGGCGGACGGGGGAGUAACACGUGGAUAACCUACCUAUAAGACUGGGAUAACUUCGGGAAACCGGAGCUAAUACCGGAUAAUAUUUUGAACCGCAUGGUUCAAAAGUGAAAGACGGUCUUGCUGUCACUUAUAGAUGGAUCCGCGCUGCAUUAGCUAGUUGGUAAGGUAACGGCUUACCAAGGCAACGAUGCAUAGCCGACCCGAGAGGGUGAUCGGCCACACUGGAACUGAGACACGGUCCAGACUCCUACGGGAGGCAGCAGUAGGGAAUCUUCCGCAAUGGGCGAAAGCCUGACGGAGCAACGCCGCGUGAGUGAUGAAGGUCUUCGGAUCGUAAAACUCUGUUAUUAGGGAAGAACAUAUGUGUAAGUAACUGUGCACAUCUUGACGGUACCUAAUCAGAAAGCCACGGCUAACUACGUG